GACGAACGCUGGCGGCGUGCCUAACACAUGCAAGUCGAGCGGAGUCGAUCGACGGAAGCCUUCGGGCGGAAGAUGGUUGACUUAGCGGCGGAUGGGUGAGUAACGCGUGGGCAACCUGCCUCGAAGACCGGGAUAACAGCCCGAAAGGGCUGCUAAUACCGGAUGUGGUCAAGGAUCCGCAUGGAUUUUUGAUUAAAGGGGAAACCCGUUUCGAGAUGGGCCCGCGUCCUAUCAGCUAGUUGGUGAGGUAAAAGCUCACCAAGGCGACGACGGGUAGCCGGCCUGAGAGGGUGACCGGCCACACUGGAACUGAGACACGGUCCAGACUCCUACGGGGGGCAGCAGUGGGGAAUCUUCCACAAUGGGCGAAAGCCUGAUGGAGCGACGCCGCGUGAGCGAAGAAGGCCUUCGGGUUGUAAAGCUCUGUCCGGAGGGACGAAGGAAGUGACGGUACCUCCGGAGGAAGCCACGGCUAACUACGUG
rnacentral:rRNA from 1 species